rnacentral:rRNA from 1 species
GAUGAACGCUGGCGGCGUGCCUAAUACAUGCAAGUCGAGCGAACAGACGAGGAGCUCGCUCCUUUGACGUUAGCGGCGGACGGGUGAGUAACACGUGGGUAACCUACCUAUAAGACUGGGAUAACUUCGGGAAACCGGAGCUAAUACCGGAUAAUAUUUCGAACCGCAUGGUUCGAUAGUGAAAGAUGGCUUUGCUAUCACUUAUAGAUGGACCUGCGCCGUAUUAGCUAGUUGGUAAGGUAACGGCUUACCAAGGCAACGAUACGUAGCCGACCUGAGAGGGUGAUCGGCCACACUGGAACUGAGACACGGUCCAGACUCCUACGGGAGGCAGCAGUAGGGAAUCUUCCGCAAAGGGCGAAAGCCUGACGGAGCAACGCCGCGUGAGUGAUGAAGGUCUUCGGAUCGUAAAACUCUGUUAUUAGGGAAGAACAAACGUGUAAGUAACUGUGCACGUCUUGACGGUACCUAAUCAGAAAGCCACGGCUAACUACGUG